rnacentral:lncRNA from 1 species
GGAAUGCCAUGAGACUUUGCUAGGGGCCUCCGUGUCCCAUAGAUAGACUGCGGGCAAAGCCGCGGCCAAAAAUAACUGCCCGAAGGCCGGGGCGCCAAGUUCGUCCAGCAGAAAAAGGCCACAAAAACGGGUGGGCUAUAGCCUUGGGGGGUGGGGCUGGCCCACUUCGUCCGCCGGACUCGGAAUGCCGCGAGACUUUACGAGGGGCCUCCGUGUGCCAAACAUAGGCCGUGGUCAAAGCCACGCCCAAAAAUAACCGCCCGAAGGCCGGGGCGCCAAGUUCGUCCAGCGGAAAAAGGCAACAAAAACGGGUGGGCUAUAGCCUUGGGGGGUGGGGCUGGCCCACUUCGUCCGCCGGACUCGGAAUGUCGCAAGACUUUGCGAGGCGCCUCCGUGUCCCAAAAAUAGGCCGCGGGCAAAGCCGCGUCCAAAAAGAACCGCCCGAAGGCCGGGGCGCCAAGUUCGUCCAGCUGAAAAAGGCCACAAAAACGGGUGGGCUAUAGCCUUGGGGGGUGGGGCUGGCCAACUUCGUCCGCCGGACUCGGAAAGCCAUGAGACUUUGCGAGGGGCCUCCGUGUACCAAAAAUAGGCUGCAGGCAAGCCGCGCCCAAAAAUAACUGCCCGAAGGCCGGGGCGCCAAGUUCGUCCAGCAGAAAAAGGCCACAAAAACGGGUGGGCUAUAGCCUUGGGGGGUGGGGCUGGCCAACUUUGUCCUCCGGAGUUGGAAUGCCGCGAGACUUUGCGAAGGGCCUCCGUGUGCCAAAAAUGGGCGACGGGCAAAGCCGCGCCCAAAAAUAACAGCCCGAAGCCCGGGGCGCCAAGUUCGUCCAGCGGAAAAAGGCCACAAACACGGGUGGGCUAUAGCCUUGGGGGGUGGGGCUGGCAAACUUCGUCCGCCGGACUCGGAAUACCGCGAGACUUUGCGAGGGGCCUCCGUGUACCAAAAAUAGGCUGCGGGCAAAGCCGCGCCCAAAAAUAACAGCCCGAAGACCGGGGCGCCAAGUUCGUCAAGCGGAAAAAGGCCACAAAAACGGGUGGGCUAUAGCCUCGGGGGGUGGGGCUGGCCAACUUCGUCCGCCGGACUCGGAAUGCCGCGAGACUUUGCGAGGGGCCUCCGUGUGCCAAAAAUAGGCCGCGGGCAAAGCCGCGCCGAAAAAUAACCGCCCGAAGGCCGGGGCGCCAAUUUCGUCCAGCGGAAAGAGGCCACAAAAACGGGUGGGCUAUAGCCUU